rnacentral:rRNA from 1 species
AUUGAACGCUGGCGGAAUGCUUUACACAUGCAAGUCGAACGGUAGAGGGGGCAACCCCUCGAGAGUGGCGAACGGGUGAGUAAUAUAUCGGAACGUGCCCAGUCGUGGGGGAUAACGUAGCGAAAGUUACGCUAAUACCGCAUACGAUCUAAGGAUGAAAGCGGGGGAUCGCAAGACCUCGCGCGAUUGGAGCGGCCGAUACCAGAUUAGGUAGUUGGUGGGGUAAAGGCUCACCAAGCCAACGAUCUGUAGCUGGUCUGAGAGGACGACCAGCCACACUGGAACUGAGACACGGUCCAGACUCCUACGGGAGGCAGCAGUGGGGAAUUUUGGACAAUGGACGCUAGUCUGAUCCAGCCAUUCCGCGUGCAGGAUGAAGGCCCUCGGGUUGUAAACUGCUUUUGUACGGAACGAAAAGGUCUCUCUUAAUACGGGGGGCUCACGACGGUACCGUAAGAAUAAGCACCGGCUAACUACGUGCCAGCCGCCGCAGUAA